AGAACGAACGCUUGGCGGCGUGCUUAACACAUGCAAGUCCAACGUGGAAAGGGGGAGCAAUCCCCCGGUAAGGUGGCGAACGGGUGAGUAAGACAUGGGAAUCUGCCCUGGAGAUGGGGAUAUCCCUCCGAAAGGGGGGUCUAAUACCGAAUACCGUUCCGGGAAACGAGAGGAUUUCGGGGAAAGGGAGGGCCUCUGGCAACAUGCUUCCGCUCCGGGAGGAGCCCAUGGCCCAUCAGCUAGUUGGGAGGGUAACGGUCUACCCAAGGCGAAGACGGGUAGCUGGUCUGAGAGGACGAUCGAGCCACACUGGCACUGAGAC
rnacentral:rRNA from 1 species